AGGGAACGUGAGCUGGGUUUAGACCGUCGUGAGACAGGUUAGUUUUACCCUACUGAUGAAGUGUUGUCGCAAUAGUAAUUCAACUUAGUACGAGAGGAACCGUUGAUUCGCAUAAUUGGUAUUUGCGGUUAGCUGACCAGCUAGUGCCGCGACGCUACCAUGCGUUGGAUUAUGGCUGAACGCCUCUAAGUCAGAAUCCAUGCCAGAACGCGGUGAUAGCACCCGCACGUAUAGACGGACAAGAAUAGGCU
rnacentral:rRNA from 13 species